GGUGCUAACGUCCGGACUCGAAAGGGAAUCAACCAAGACCGCCAGCUAAGGUCCCUAAUAUCAGCUAAGUGGAAAACGAAGUGGAAAGGCUAAAACAGUCAGGAAGUUGGCUUAGAAGCAGCCAUCCUUCAAAGAAAGCGUAAUAGCUCACUGAUCGAGUCCUUCCGCGCGGAAGAUGUAACGGGGCUAAGUUGAUAACCGAAGCUGCGGAUUCAUACUUUGAGUAUGAGUGGUAGGGGAGCGUUCUGUAAGCCUGCGAAGGUGGAUCGUAAGGUCUGCUGGAGGUAUCAGAAGUGCGAAUGCUGACAUGAGUAACGAUAAAGCGGGUGAAAAGCCCGCUCGCCGCAAACCCAAGGUUUCCUGCUCUACGUUAAUCGGAGCAGGGUGAGUCGGUUCCUAAGGCCAGGCUGAGAAGCGUAGCUGAUGGAAAUCAGGUUAAUAUUCCUGAACCGGCGUUGAAUGCGAUGGGGUGACGGAGCAGCCAGAGUGGACCGGGUGUUGGAUGUCCCGGCUUCCGAGCGAUGGGUGCCUGCAGGCAAAUCCGCAGGCGUAUACCCAGGACGAAGGAUCGGGCCUUCUUUUGAAGGCGAAGCCACUGGAAGCGCUUCCAGGAAAAACCUCUAAGCUUCAGUUCAACGGCGACCGUACCGUAAACCGACACAGGUGGGUGAGCUGAAUAUGCUCAGGCGCUUGAGAGAACUCGGGAGAAGGAACUCGGCAAAUUGACACCGUAACUUCGGAAGAAGGUGUGCCUUUGUAGCUUGAUGGGAGAGAAACCCAAAGGGCGAAGAGGUCUCAGAGAAUCGGUGGCUGUAACUGUUUACUAAAAACACAGCGCUCUGCAAAGAUGAAAGUCGACGUAUAGGGCGUGAUGCCUGCCCGGUGCUGGAAGAUUAAUUGAUGGGGUGCAAGCUCCUGAUCGAAGUCCCAGUAAACGGCGGCCGUAACUAUAACGGUCCUAAGGUAGCGAAAUUCCUUGUCGGGUAAGUUCCGACCUGCACGAAUGGCAUAAUAAUGGCCACACUGUCUCCUCCCGAGACUCAGUGAAAUUGAAAUGUUUGUGAUGAUGCAAUCUCCCCGCGGCUAGACGGAAAGACCCCAUGAACCUUAACUGUAGCUUUGCAUUGGACUUUGAACCGAUCUGUGUAGGAUAGGCGGGAGGCUUUGAAGAAUGGACGCCAGUUCAUUCGGAGCCGUCGUUGAAAUACCGCCCUGAUUUGUUUGAGGUUCUAACCUGGGCCAGUGAUCCUGGCUGGGGACCGUGCAUGGUGGGCAGUUUGACUGGGGCGGUCUCCUCCUAAAGGGUAACGGAGGAGUGCGAAGGUACGCUAAUCACGGUCGGAAAUCGUGAGGAUACUGCAAUGGGAAAAGCGUGCCUGACUGCGAGACAGACAAGUCGAGCAGAUGCGAAAGCAGGUCAUAGUGAUCCGGUGGCUUCUGUAUGGAAGGGCCAUCGCUCAACGGAUAAAAGGUACUCUGGGGAUAACAGGCUGAUACCGCCCAAGAGUUCAUAUCGACGGCGGUGUUUGGCACCUCGAUGUCGGCUCAUCUCAUCCUGGGGCUGUAGUCGGUCCCAAGGGUAUGGCUGUUCGCCAUUUAAAGAGGUACGUGAGCUGGGUUUAAAACGUCGUGAGACAGUUUGGUCCCUAUCUACCGCGGGCGCUGGAAGAUUGACAGGGGCUGCUCCUAGUACGAGAGGACCGGAGUGGACGCACCUCUGGUGUAUCGGUUGUGACGCCAGUCGCAUUGCCGAGUAGCUAUGUGCGGAAGAGAUAACCGCUGAAAGCAUCUAAGCGGGAAACUUGCCUGAAGAUUAGUCUUCCCGGAGGCUUGACCUCCCUGAAGGGUCGUCCGAGACCAGGACGUUGAUAGGCCAGGUGUGGAAGCGCUGUGAGGCGUGAAGCUAACUGGUACUAAUUGCCCGUGCGGCUUGAUCCU
rnacentral:rRNA from 1 species